rnacentral:rRNA from 1 species
CGGCCCGCCGGCGGACAAACCAAAACUCUUGUUAUCUUAGUUGAUUAUCUGAGCGUCUUAUUUAAUAAGUCAAAACUUUCAACAACGGAUCUCUUGGUUCUGGCAUCGAUGAAGAACGCAGCGAAAUGCGAUAAGUAAUGUGAAUUGCAGAAUUCAGUGAAUCAUCGAAUCUUUGAACGCACAUUGCGCCCAUUAGUAUUCUAGUGGGCAUGCCUGUUCGAGCGUCAUUUCAACCCCUAAGCACAGCUUACUGUUGGGACUCUACGGCCCCCGUAGUUCCCCAAAGCCAUUGGCGGAGUGGCAGUAGUCCUCUGAGCGUAGUAAUUCUUUAUCUCGCUUUUGUUAGGCGCUGCCCCCCCGGCCGU